CCUGGAGUCUCACCCACGGUUUCUGUUCCUGGUGUACAAUGAAUCCCAAAUGAAGGUUUAUAAUAGGCCUUUAAAAGCCUGAGCAUGACUCUUCACAUUCAGGGUACAAAUCAAUUUUCUUUAACUGCUACUUCCCAGAAGCCUAUUUCAUCUCAAAACACCCCCUAGGAAACAGAAAAGCUCUGGAUAUUUUUCAUAUUGUUACUCUCAGAGCAUUCAGGUGGCUAGUUAAACGGUAGCUCUAGACAUGACGCAAUUCCAAAAUACAUAGAUAACAACAUGCUUAUUUCUGAAUCUGGUCACAGGUCAAGGUUACAUCUGAUAAGCUAGCCACUCAAUUUGUACAGUAUCUCUUCUUUCACGUAUAUUUUAAAGCACUCAUUAUAAAAACAUUCCUUUUUUAAAAAUUGUUAUUUCCAUAGGUUUUCAUGGUCAACCAAAAUUAACAGUAACAAAACCCCUCUAAUCCUGCA
rnacentral:lncRNA from 1 species